CAUGCAAGUCGAACGCGCAGCGAAAGGUGCUUGCACCUUUCAAGCGAGUGGCGAACGGGUGAGUAACACGUGGAUAACCUGCCUCAAGGCUGGGGAUAACAUUUGGAAACAGAUGCUAAUACCGAAUAAAACUUAGUAUCGCAUGAUACAAAGUUGAAAGGCGCUACGGCGUCACCUAGAGAUGGGUCCGCGGUGCAUUAGUUAGUUGGUGGGGUAAAGGCCUACCAAGACAAUGAUGCAUAGCCGAGUUGAGAGACUGAUCGGCCACAUUGGGACUGAGACACGGCCCAAACUCCUACGGGAGGCUGCAGUAGGGAAUCUUCCACAAUGGGCGAAAGCCUGAUGGAGCAACGCCGCGUGUGUGAUGAAGGCUUUAGGGUCGUAAAGCACUGUUGUAUGGGAAGAAAUGCUAGAAUAGGGAAUGAUUCUAGUUCGACGGUACCAUACCAGAAAGGGACGGCUAAAUACGUGCCAGCAGCCGCGGUAAUACGUAUGUCCCGAGCGUUAUCCGGAUUUAUUGGGCGUAAAGCGAGCGCAGACGGUUGAUUAAGUCUGAUGUGAAAGCCCGGAGCUCAACUCCGGAAUGGCAUUGGAAACUGGUUAACUUGAGUGUUGUAGAGGUAAGUGGAACUCCAUGUGUAGCGGUGGAAUGCGUAGAUAUAUGGAAGAACACCAGUGGCGAAGGCGGCUUACUGGACAACAACUGACGUUGAGGCUCGAAA
rnacentral:rRNA from 1 species